rnacentral:rRNA from 1 species
GAUGAACGCUGGCGGCGUGCUUAAUACAUGCAAGUCGAACGGAGGUAUGUAGCAAUACGUAUCUUAGUGGCGAACGGGUGAGUAACACGUUGGUGACCUACCCCAGAGAGGGGGAUAACAGCUCGAAAGGGCUGCUAAUACCCCAUGUCGUCAUGGUGCUUAGAAAGCCAUGCCGAAAGGUGCAAACCGCUCUGGGAGGGGCCUGCGUCCCAUCAGCUAGUUGGUGAGGUAAAAGCCCACCAAGGCGAUGACGGGUAGGGACCUGAGAGGGUGGCCCCCCACAAUGGAACUGAAACACGGUCCAUACACCUACGGGUGGCUG